GUCCCCAUCGUCUAGCGGCCUAGGACACCGCCCUUUCACGGCGGGAACAGGGGUUCGAACCCCCUUGGGGACGCCA
rnacentral:tRNA from 2 species